UGUUGCCUACGGGGGGCAGCAGUGGGGAAUAUUGCACAAUGGGGGAAACCCUGAUGCAGCGACGCCGCGUGAGCGAAGAAGUAUCUCGGUAUGUAAAGCUCUAUCAGCAGGGAAGAAAGAAAUGACGGUACCUGACUAAGAAGCCCCGGCUAACUACGUGCCAGCAGCCGCGGUAAUACGUAGGGGGCAAGCGUUAUCCGGAUUUACUGGGUGUAAAGGGAGCGUAGACGGCGAUGCAAGUCUGAAGUGAAAGGCGGGGGCCCAACCCCCGGACUGCUUUGGAAACUGUAUGGCUGGAGUGCAGG
rnacentral:rRNA from 1 species